UCCCUACGGGAGGCAGCAGUAGGGGAUAUUGGACAAUGGGGGAAACCCUGAUCCAGCGAUGCCGCGUGAGGGAAGAAGGUUUUCGGAUUGUAAACCUCUGUGGAGGGGGACGAUAAUGACGGUACCCCUUUAGGAAGCCACGGCUAACUACGGGCCAGCAGCCGCGGUAAUACGUAGGGGGCGAGCGUUGUCCGGAAUUUCUGGGGGUAAAGGGAGGGUAGGCGGGAAAGCAAG
rnacentral:rRNA from 1 species